UUCAUGGAGAGUUUGAUCCUGGCUCAGGACGAACGCUGGCGGCGUGCCUAAUACAUGCAAGUCGAGCGGGUGAACCUGACAGAUUCCUUCGGGAUGACGUCAG
rnacentral:rRNA from 1 species